rnacentral:lncRNA from 1 species
GGAACGCUUACGCCGCUUCUCAGGAAUCCGAUUCCUCUGCUCCAGUUUCCGAUCUCGAAGCCGCAGUCCGUACCACCAGCGGCAAAGUAUCCGGCACCUUCAACGUGUAAUUUCUACUACCCUACUACGUCAUAAUUAUCUUUUCAUUUCAUGUCCUCUCUUCAAGAUUGGAUUAAAUUAUGCUUCAUUCUGGUGCUAGUGUUAGUCAAUCGUGAACAAUUAUUAGAAAAUUGAUUUAAAAAAUGGCGUUGUUUUGCUAGUGAAUUUUCAAUUAUUUUGACAUUUUUUUGCUAUUUAAUUCCAUUAUGCUGUGCAUUUAAUUGCGGGGCAAUCCAUGUCCGCGGUCACUGUAAUCACUGGUAUAGUUGACUGGCAAACGGCAAGCAUAUCAUUUUUCUCAAUUGUUAUGUGCUGUGAGUGCAAUGGUGUUGGUGGAAUGAGUUUAAGUUCUAAUAAAAGGUAAGAUCAGGAAGAGGAAAAAAAAACGAAAACUAUUUUCGUGCUUGAUGAAACUAUUUUCGUCGGAUUAUUAUUUCCCUGCAAGCAUGAAUUGGAAACUGAUUUUUGAGUUGGUCUAUGGCUUUAUUGGUAUUUUUUUCCUCAUGAUUGAUUACUAUCAUAAAUACAAGAAUGUUUACGUCUAUGUAAUUCUUUUUCAAUUUCAGAGUUUCGAAAGGAGUCAGGGAUAUACCCGGGAGUUUUCAGUCUUCCACUAUCAAUGUUCCUUCUGGACAAUCUUUCGUGUACUUUGGUAUACUACUUGCUGCUGGAGUGUUCUUUGUCUUUAUUGCAUUCACCAUGUUCCUUCCUGUCAUGGUGUUGGUGCCUCAGAAAUUCGCAAUCUGCUUUACCAUUGGUUGUGCCCUAAUCGUUGCUUCAUUCUUUGCACUCAAAGGCCCUAAGAAUCAGCUUGCCCACAUGUUUUCUAAAGAGGUAUUUUAUUUUAUUUCACUGACCAAUGCUCGUAUUAGUUAAUGAAUCACUUACAGAAACAUUUGAGUUAUGUUUGAUUGCAUGGAUUAAAGUUGUUGAAUGUUUCUUGUCAAUGAGAUAUUUAGGCUCCUUGCUUUCCUUCUUAUUUACAGAGGCUCCCUUUCACUUUGGGAUUUAUCAGUACCAUGGUAGGAACUGUAUAUGUUUCUAUGGUGCUUCACAGUUACAUCCUUUCUGUGCUCUUCUCCGUGUUACAGGUAUCAACUUCAAAUUCCUGUGUGGUACUUUGAAUUUCUUUAUAGUCUACUCAUGUGCUUGGCAAAUAGCUCACCUAGGUAUCCGAGUAAUAUCUGGUGUAAAACUUGAAAUGUGUGGUUUAGUUCAUACUAGAUAGGUUACCUGCGCUACCAUUUAAUGCACAAGAGAAGUUUCAUAGAAGUAAUUGCUGAACAAGGAUAAAAAAAAAUGUGCAGGCGUUGUUAAUGUGCUUUUUAAUAUAGUAAAAUUUAAAGAAAUUUCAAAUGCAAUUGCUUUUGUUUUUUAAAUAUUAAGACAAUGAUAUAUUAGAUCAACAUAGGUCAACUUGUGUUCACUUUUCAAAUACAAGGUCUAGUUUGCAAUUAUUUUUUAUUUUAUUAUAUGAUAAUAAAGAUAUAUGCUCGCAUAAAAGAUACCAAAUAUUUUUAUUUUAAAAAAAUAAUACAAAUAUGAUGGACGGGACAAAAAGAAUGUUUGCUAUAAUUAAAAAAAAAAACAACUGUAAUCUUUUUCGAAAACAAAGUUUUGAUGGUAUUUUAAAAAAUAAUAACUCAAAUGUAUUCUUAAUUAAUUCCCAAACUCAAUAAAGUACUAAUGUAAUAUAUAUUUAGUUAUUUAAUUUCAAAUUAAAAUAAUCUUAAAGUGAAAAAAUAAAAUAAAAAUAAAGGCAAAGGACCAAGAGUGCGGGCCUAGGAGGCUUAACAUGCCCGACCCACUAAAAUUCAAACCUAGCGUGUGGGCUUGACAAAACAGGCCUGCGUGCAUGAGCUUGAUACUAUUUGUUAUUUAAAUAGGCCGAUGACAUAUCUAAUAAACAAACCACACUUUUUCUACAAACCUAGUUUCUAGCCACCAUCAUAGUGGUGAUGAACAAAUCAAGAUAGAUAAUGUUUUUACUCAAAAACCUAAUUUUGACCUAUUUUAUGAAAAUAAAAUAAAAAUAAAUGCAAAAUACAGCCAAGAGUGUGAGCCUAGAAGUCCCGGUGUACAUGAGUUUGAUAUUUAUUUAUUAUUUAAACAGGUAAAUGACAUGUAGUUUGCCAAUUUUUUUUAAAAGAAAUUGACGACGACAUGUCUUCUACAAACUCAAUUUCUAGUCAUCACAGAGGUGACAUAAAAUCUUGAUAGAUAUUGUUUUACUCAAAAACCCGAUUUUAACCGAUUUUCAUAUAAAAACAUUCUUAUAAUCUUAAAAAAUUAAUUCCUCAAUUCAAAAAACUCAAAAUUGGUUAAAAACAAAUCAAAUGGCGAAAAAAUCUCACAACACCAAUUUACUUUUUUUGGCAAUUUGAAAGUCCAAAACCAUCUCAAUGACUCCUUUUGGAUACUCUGAUACCAAAUUUGAUCUUUUUGUCAUCAAAUUCCAACCAAUCAAUUUUUUUCUUGAUCAUCCACUAUUUUUUCAUGAUUUCUCUUUCCUUUCUCAAACAACUCAGGGACUGAACUAAAUUGUUUAAUUCAACAAUAAAGGAAAUUUGAAAAUAUACUAAGGCAAAAUUAAGCAAAAGGUGUCGACACCAUUUUCUUUCUUUAAUUUUUUUUUUAAAAGGACUCCUAUUUUUUCUUUGUUUCAGUUUUGAUCCCCUAGUUAUCUAAGUAAAGAUUCUUUAUGUGGUGUAAAACCUGAGUUUUGCUAGUAUUGUUUACUUUUUCCCAUUAUUUUUCUAAAUUAAAAAGAAAGGCACUAUUUUUUUUUUGUCCCAUUUCUUUGUUGAAUUGUAGUGUCUUGUCAGGUGUCUGGCAUGCCAAUUGAAUUAUUCUUUUUCCACUAGUGGCAGUUUAUGAUUUAUAGAAUGUCAUCCUCAAUAGGCUUUGCGUAUUCCUGUUGGGUGAAUCUGUGAUUUUUCGGAUCCAUGGAAUUAUGGUGUGUAUUUACGUGUUUGAAAUACCUCAGAUUAUGCACCAGGGCAACAUUGCCCUCUCAAACCAUAGAUAUCAAUUUCUUCAUUUCUUUUCCAUUGUAGUGACUGGAGUAAUAAUUCUUGAGAAACUAACACCUUUUUAAAACUUUGCUAGGUCCUCGCUCUAUCGUAUUAUGCUUCCCUGGAGGAUCUACUGGGCUGAAGUUUCUUUCUUCAACUUUUACCACAUCAAUACUGAGAUGUUUCGGAAGGUGAUAUCAGUGCCUGGUUUUUCUCAUAUAUAAUAGCUUAUUUAAUAGGUUUGUUUUAUAUUUUAUCAAUUUUAUUAUCGAGUUGAAUUUUUUAGUAAAUAUGUAGAAAUUUAAAUUUAUGUAGAUAAUGAAUUAAGAGUUCUUUUAAAUUAAAUUAAAUUAAAUAAGUUUGGGCUAAAUUAAUAUUUUUAUAAAUUUAUUUAGUUAAUACAUGUUGUCAUCAUUAUUUUUUAUAGAUUUGAUAUAAGUAAUAGAUGAUCGUUUAUGGAUGUAUAGAGAUUCACCUCAAGGGUUGCGGAUGAUGAAUUAUUGUAAUGGAGUUCAGAUUUUUAUUAAUUACGUAUUAUCUAAUCUGAAAAAUAUUAGUGGAGAUGAUAUUAGAUGUCCAUAUAAAAGUUGUAAAAAUAAAAAGUUUAUUGAUCUAGAUAUUAUAAUGAUGCAUUUUUUUCAAAAAAAAAUUCAUAAAAAAAAUACUUGUAUUAGUAUACAAACAAAAAACCAUACGAUCCUCACAAUAAAGGUGGAUAAAGGUGGACUCGUUUAGGCUAAGUCCUAAUCAAACCCCACAUGAAGCCUAACCAAGGUUAAACACUUAGUUGGGCCGAAUGCCCAAUCAAGUCUCACACUUAGUUGGGUCACAACCCAACCAAAUUCUUUUUUUUUUUUUUUUCUCUAUUUAUUUAUCUCGUUUUAAUCAUAAGCUAUGAGUUUAUGAAAACUCUAUUUGAAAAUAUAACGAAGGAAUAGAGUUGCUACCUUAUGGUGAAAGAUUUUUUCUAGAUAUUUUUAUUUUUUUAGAUAUAAAAUGUCAGGUUUUAACAUAAAGAAGGAGAUUAUCUCUUCAAAGAAGUAUUCACUUUUUUUUCAUUAUCUAAAAAUCCUAAACUAAAUUUGGUAUCAGAAAGUUAUUUUUGCUAAUAACAACUGUCAUCUACACAAAAAUCAUCUUUAAAAAGCCUCCAAUCAAAUUAUUAUUUUAAUAUUUUUUAAAAUUAACACUUAAUAUUAGUUUGUUAUCCAUUUAUUUUAUUGGAAAGAAACAAUAGUGGCGAUAUCAAUGAUAAUUUAAAGUAUUGUUUGUUUACAAAUAUAUUAAAAUAAUUUUUUAUUUUAUAAUUAAAAAAAAAAUAUUUUUUGUUUUAAAUAAAAAAAUAAUUUUUAAAAUUUUUAAAAACAUAAUUUGCAUACCACGUUCCGAAUCACUCCCUUAAUAAACAAUGGACACUAACGGAGGAGGAGGUGGCGCGAAAAGCACUAUCAGAUCUCAAAUCCCCAAUCUGAAAGAGAGAGAUUCAGAUCUCCUAUCAAAACCCCCGUCUUCUUUUACAGUAAGGAAAAAGAGAGAAUGCAGAAAACGGCACAAUCGUGGUUCACGGGAGGCCCAACCUUCAACGACCAAAAAUCCUCCUCCUCCUCCGCCCCGUCUUUGCUAUCAGAUUGGAACGCUUACGCCGCUUCUCAGGAAUCCGCUCCCUCCGCUCCAGUUUUCGAUCUCGAAGCCGCAGUCCGUACCACCAGCGACAAAGUAUCCGGCACCUUCAACGUGUAAUUUCUACUACCCUGCUACGUCAUAAUUAUCCUUUCAUUUCAUGUCCUCUCUUCAAGAUUGGAUUAAAUUAUGCUUCAUUCUGGUGCUAGUGUUAGUCAAUCGUGAACAAUUAUUAGAAAAUUGAUUUAAAAAAUGGCGUUGUUUUGCUAGUGAAAUUUCAAUUAUUUUGACAUUUUUUUGCUAUUUAAUUCCAUUAUGCUGUGCAUUUAAUUGCGUGGCAAUCCAUCUCCGCGGUCACUGUAAUCACUGGUAUAGUUGACUGGCAAACGGCAAGCAUAUCAUUUUUCUCAAUUGUUAUGUGCUGCGAGUGCAAUGGUGUUGGUGGAAUGAGUUUAAGUUCUAAUAAAAGGUAAGAUCAGG